AAAUGGAGAGACAUGUACGUGUGUAGUUGGCCGCCAGGAAGCUGAGUUCAAAACUGUGACCAGAGCAGCCACAGUGGGGCACUGUGGGAUGCCCCCUGGAGGCUACUAAAUUUGACAAAAGUACUGCGUCACCCUAACUAUGUCAACCUAAGCAUUAUACCUCUUGUGCAGGUGGAGUUAAGUCAGCAUAGCGGGUGACUUACAUCGGCGGGAACAACAUUUUAGUGUAGGUGCUUAGAGUUAGGUUGACAUAAGCUGCCUUGCAUCAACCUAACUCUGUAGUGUAGACCAGGCCACAGA